rnacentral:lncRNA from 1 species
UUCUAGCAGCUGUUACUAAGGCAAAACCAUCACCUGCUAAAAAGAAGAAAGGUAUACAGCAGAAUCGUGUGUUGUUUUGCUGUAGAAACAUCACACGCAGCACUGUGCUGAUAUUAAUCCUGUCACAUUCAAGCCACGUCACAUCACUGACAUGUAGCUGCUGACGAUAUGCGUCGCUGCCACGUGAUAAUGACCCAACUAAAAGUAUCAUAAUCUGUUUUUAUUUUGCUUAAAUUAUUAUGUUACCGCUGAGUUUUGUCCUUUUCAAGUUGGUCAUUUUCAUGUUUCAGCAUUCCUCAAUACGUGCUUGAUUGACAUACUAAGUAUGAAUGCUGUUUCACAGUGUCUUAUUUUCUGCAAGACUGAACCUAAAAUGUCUUUACUUAGAGCCAGCUCCCAUUAAGACAAAACCAGCCCCAGCUAAAGGUAAGACCAGACUUUAUUUUGUUAAUCAUAAUUUCAAAAUGUACUCAAGCUUUUGAUUUUCAUACUCAUUUAUCUUUGACAGAAGCACCACACAAAAAUGUUACUCUAACAAAGGAGAAGGUGAAGGUGGUGCCACUGAAGAAAGGUACAUCUCUUUGUUUAAGCAGCUGUUCUUGUGUGUUUUUUAUGCUAACUUUCUAAAUUCAGAAUGCUUUCUCAAUGUUUCCAAACUUAAACACUUUUUCCCAUCUUAGUGCCUUUGACACUGAAACAGAGAGUUAAACCAGAACCAACCAAAAAAGACGCCAAAAAGCCUGUAAGAGAAAUUAAAAUUGUCAAGAAGGAGGUUGCAUCCGUUCUUAAGAAGGAACAGCUCAAUGUUACAAAAGCAGAAGCAGCUCCCAAGGAGCCUAAGAAGGAGCCAGCGCUAAAAGUAAAGCCUACACCUGUAAAACCAGCCGAGGUUUCAAAACAGAAGCUCAAGCCAGUUCUAACCAAGAAAGGUAAGAAACAGUUAUCCUUGAGUUUCAUUGUGUCUUAUUCCCUGUGA